rnacentral:lncRNA from 1 species
ACAUCUUACUCGACAAUCAAUCUCCCAUGAGUUCCCUUCCUUGGAAGAUCCGACCUGAACCUCUUCCCCCUAUUGCUAGCGCAUCACUUUGUCCUUCCAUUGAUUCUCCACCUAAACUUGAGUUAAAGCCACUUCCGACAACUCUUAAGUAUGCCUUUCUAGGACCAAAAGAUACCCUCCCUGUAAUCAUCGCGGCCAAC